rnacentral:rRNA from 1 species
CCUACGGGAUGCACCAGUGGGGAAUAUUGCACAAUGGGCGCAAGCCUGAUGCAGCCAUGCCGCGUGUAUGAAGAAGGCCUUCGGGUUGUAAAGCACUUUCAGUAGGGAGGAAGGUAGUGUAGUUAACACCUGCAUUAUUUGACGUUACCUACAGAAGAAGCACCGGCUAACUCCGUGCCAGCAGCCGCGGUAAUACGGAGGGUGCAAGCGUUAAUCGGAAUUACUGGGCGUAAAGCGCACGCAGGCGGUCUGUCAAGUCGGAUGUGAAAUCCCCGGGCUCAACCUGGGAACUGCAUUCGAAACUGGCAGGCUAGAGUCUUGUAGAGGGGGGUAGAAUUCCAGGUGUAGCGGUGAAAUGCGUAGAGAUCUGGAGGAAUACCGGUGGCGAAGGCGGCCCCCUGGACAAAGACUGACGCUCAGGUGCGAAAGCGUGGGGAGCAAACAGGAUUAGAUACCCCUGUAGUC